rnacentral:rRNA from 1 species
AUUGAACGCUGGCGGCAGGCUUAACACAUGCAAGUCGAGCGGUAACAGGAAUAGCUUGCUAUUUGCUGACGAGCGGCGGACGGGUGAGUAAUGCCUGGGAAUAUGCCCUGAUGUGGGGGAUAACUAUUGGAAACGAUAGCUAAUACCGCAUAAUCUCUUCGGAGUAAAGAGGGGGACCUUCGGGCCUCUCGCGUCAGGAUUAGCCCAGGAGGGAUUAGCUUGUUGGUGGGGUAAAGGCUCACCAAGGCAACGAUCCCUAGCUGGUCUGAGAGGAUGAUCAGCCACACUGGAACUGAGACACGGUCCAGACUCCUACGGGAGGCAGCAGUGGGGAAUAUUGCACAAUGGGCGAAAGCCUGAUGCAGCCAUGCCGCGUGUGUGAAGAAGGCCUUCGGGUUGUAAAGCACUUUCAGCGAGGAGGAAAGGUUAAUGGUUAAUAGCCAUUAGCUGUGACGUUACUCGCAGAAGAAGCUCCGGCUAACUUCGUGCCAGCAGCCGCGGUAAUACGAGGGGUGCAAGCGUUAAUCGGAAUUACUGGGCGUAAAGCGUACGCAGGCGGUUUGUUAAGCGAGAUGUGAAAGCCCUGGGCUCAACCUAGGAACUGCAUUUCGAACUGGCAAACUAGAGUCCUGUAGAGGGGA